CCUACGGGUGGCAGCAGUGAGGAAUAUUGGUCAAUGGCCGGGAGGCUGAACCAGCCAAGUCGCGUGAGGGAAGACGGCCCUACGGGUUGUAAACCUCUUUUGUCAGGGAGCAAGGUGCAGGUCGGGACCUGCAGUGAGAGUACCUGAAGAAAAAGCAUCGGCUAACUCCGUGCCAGCAGCCGCGGUAAUACGGAGGAUGCGAGCGUUAUCCGGAUUUAUUGGGUUUAAAGGGUGCGCAGGCGGAGAGACAAGUCAGCGGUAAAAUCGCGGGGCUCAACCCCGCUCCGCCGUUGAAACUGUGUCGCUUGAGUGCGCGAAGGGUAGGCGGAAUGCGUGGUGUAGCGGUGAAAUGCAUAGAUAUCACGCAGAACUCCGAUCGCGAAGGCAGCCUACCGGCGCGCAACUGACGCUCAUGCACGAAAGCGUGGGUAUCGAACAGGAUUAGAUACCCCGGUAGUC
rnacentral:rRNA from 1 species